rnacentral:rRNA from 1 species
AGAGUUUGAUCCUGGCUCAGGAUGAACGCUAGCGGGAGGCUUAACACAUGCAAGUCGAGGGGCAGCAUUCACUUCGGUGAGAUGGCGACCGGCGCACGGGUGCGUAACGCGUAUGCAACCUACCUUAUACAAAGGGAUAGCCCAUGGAAACGUGGAUUAAUACCUUAUGGUACUGUAAAACUGCAUAGUUUAACAGUUAAAACUUCGGUGGUAUAAGAUGGGCAUGCGUAGGAUUAGGUUGUUGGUGAGGUAACGGCUCACCAAGCCGACGAUCCUUAGGGGUUCUGAGAGGAUUAUCCCCCACACUGGUACUGAGACACGGACCAGACUCCUACGGGAGGCAGCAGUGAGGAAUAUUGGGCAAUGGAGGCAACUCUGACCCAGCCAUCCCGCGUGCAGGAUGACGGCCCUAUGGGUUGUAAACUGCUUUUAUUUACCAAGAAUGGUUACUACGUGUAGUGAUUUGACGGUAGUAAAUGAAUAAGGACCGGCUAACUCCGUGCCAGCAGCCGCGGUAAUACGGAGGGUCCAAGCGUUAUCCGGAUUUAUUGGGUUUAAAGGGUGCGCAGGCGGGCUUGUAAGUCAGUGGUGAAAUACUGCCGCUUAACGGUAGAACUGCCAUUGAUACUGCAAGUCUUGAAUAUGGUUGAGGUAGGCGGAAUGUGUCGUGUAGCGGUGAAAUGCAUAGAUAUGACACAGAACGCCAAUUGCGAAGGCAGCUUACUAAGCCAUUAUUGACGCUGAGGCACGAAAGCGUGGGGAGCGAACAGGAUUAGAUACCCUGGUAGUCCACGCC